ensembl:rRNA 5S_rRNA 5S ribosomal RNA
ACCGGCAGCCAUAUCACCCUGUAGCCCAAGACUGGUUGCCCACUGAAGCUAAGCAGGGUUGAGCCUGGUCAGUACCUGGAUGGGAGACCUCCUGGGAAAAGUUAGUUGUUAGUA